UGGGGAAUUUUGGACAAUGGGCGCAAGCCUGAUCCAGCCAUGCCGCGUGAGGGAAGAAGGCCUUCGGGUUGUAAACCUCUUUCGGGCGGGACGAAACGGGGCGCACGAAUAGUGCGUCUUACUGACGGUACCGCAAGAAGAAGCACCGGCUAACUACGUGCCAGCAGCCGCGGUAAUACGUAGGGUGCGAGCGUUAAUCGGAAUUACUGGGCGUAAAGUGUGCGCAGGCGGCCGAGCAAGUCGAGUGUGAAAGCCCCGAGCUUAACUUGGGAACCGCAUUCGAGACUGUGUUGCUGGAGUACGGAAGAGGAGGGCGGAAUUCCCGGUGUAGCGGUGAAAUGCGUAGAUAUCGGGAGGAACAUCAGUGGCGAAGGCGGCCCUCUGGUCCAGUACUGACACUCAAGUGCGAAAGCGUGGGGAGCAAACAGGAUUAGAUACCCCAGUAGUCCCUGAGCGGGCUGGCAAGGCGCAU
rnacentral:rRNA from 1 species